rnacentral:rRNA from 1 species
AUGGCCUGGACGCUCGUCAACCUCGGCCACUUCAUGAUUACAUACCACUUCUUCCACUGGAAGAAGGGAACUCCAUUCGUUGAUGAUCAGGGGAUGUAUAAUAGAUUGACUUGGUGGGAGCAAAUGGACAACGGCAAGCAGCUUACUCACAACAGAAAAUUUCUUGUUGUGGUUCCUGUAGUCCUGUAUGUGUUAUUCUGUUUCAAUUUUAUUAAUACUGCUUUUGGGAGCUUACUUGGCAAGGAACAACAUGGCAGGAUGUAUGCACAAAGAUUGAUUCUGGCUAGUCAGAAAUACUACACUUAUUCAUUAAUUAUGCAAAGAACACUUGUUAGUAACAUCUAG